CCUACGGGUGGCAGCAGUGAGGAAUAUUGGUCAAUGGCCGAGAGGCUGAACCAGCCAAGUCGCGUGAGGGAAGACGGCCCUAAGGGUUGUAAACUUCUUUUGUCGGGGAGCAAAGCGAACCACGUGAGCUUCAUCGAGAGUACUCGAAGAAAAAGCAUCGGCUAACUCCGUGCCAGCAGCCGCGGUAAUACGGAGGAUGCGAGCGUUAUCCGGAUUUAUUGGGUUUAAAGGGUGCGCAGGCGGAGUGGCAAGUCAGCGGUAAAAUUGCGGGGCUCAACCCCGGACUGCCGUUGAAACUGCAUCCCUUGAGUGCGCGAGAGGUAUGCGGAAUGCGUGGUGUAGCGGUGAAAUGCAUAGAUAUCGCGCAGAACUCCGAUUGCGAAGGCAGCAUACCGGCGCGCAACUGACGCUCAUGCACGAAAGCGUGGGUAUCGAACAGGAUUAGAUACCCGGGUAGUC
rnacentral:rRNA from 1 species